CCGGCCUCUCUGGCCCUCUUUGGCUUCCUCAGCAAAGCCUGCGCUGGACAAUGACCCUUGAUGCAGGAGCUCCAUCGGAGUGAAUGCGCACCCUGAUCCCAGCUAUGCCUGACCCAGAGGCAGUGCUAAAGAAGCCCUAACCCUGAGUUCUGCUGAAGAGGGAAGUUCUCUGUCACCUCCCACCUGUUGGACCCGAUGGUACAUCUCACAGCCCAGAACAGGCUCGUGCUGAAGGAAAAGCUCCUGUGACCAGAAAGACCUCAGAUCUCACUCUGCCACUCUCCUACCUUUGGUCCGAGCUACCUAUCACCACCACAGGCUUCCGGUUUCCUUCUCUAUCAUUUCCCUCUCCAAGCUCAGGAAGUCCAGGCUGGCAGAAAAAAAAAGACUUAACAUUUGCUCCUUUGGAAGGCAAAUUUCCAGAUGAUUCAACAAUGCUGAAGGGUUUACAGCAUCUCUAAACAAAUCAAAAUUUAUGAAAAUACCGGUGUUUGUCAAUGGAAUUUCCCUCCUACUCAUUAAAAGGCCAGUUGCAUUUGUUGAUAAUGUCUAAAGAAUUCUGCAUUCUCACAGAGAGGGUGGGAAUAGGAUGCCACCCUGCUUUUCGGUUAAGGAAACUGAGGAAAGAGAGGGCAGGUACUCUCAUUAAGCAGACCUGGGUUGAUGCCUGUUUCUUAAUCUAUAAAAUGAUGCUACUCCUUCUCUGGUAGGUCGCCAUCCCCAUGGGACCUCUGUAUACCAGAUGCUCCGCACACAGCAGCCAGACAGUGAGGCAAGUUGCUCUGAGAACCAAGCAGCAAGUGUUGAGUGCAGACCUUAUGGACUCCUAGGUCACCACAUCCCCGAAUCACAGAUGUGUUGGGGUUCCCAGAAUGGCUCCUGGUGAAACUCUAGAGAGACAGGAAACCCCAGAAGCUCACGAGGUUGCUCAGCUGUCUAUGAGUCUCGGUUGCUCUUUAUGUGCUUUUGCUAUGCUUCUCACUCCCCUUGCCCCCCAGGACUCCAGCCUUAGUAGCCACAGGCCCAUGCUAUGCUUCCCCAAGGCAUCCUUAGAGUCCAUAUACAAAUAUAGACAGAGCCUGACUCUUUUGCCUGGCUUACUUCAUUUACUCGCUGUCUUCCAGGUUUGCCUAUGUUGUCACAGAUAGCAGUAUUUGCUUCUUUAAAGCUGAACAACAAAUAUUCUGGUUAUAUAUAAGAGUCAUAUUCUCUUCCUCCAUUCAUCUCUUAAGAGGCUCUGUGUUAUCUCCACAGCAGCCUAGGGGUAGCUAUUGUGGCUAUUUCUGCAAUGAACAUGGGAGCAUUGUCAUCUCUUGGUGACAGUCUUGAUGUCCUUUGGACAUGUACCCAGAUACAGGAUUUUUGAGUCAUGUGGCGCUUCAAUUUUUAAUUUCCAAAUGCAUUCUUGUAGUAUUUUCUUGAAUGGCUAUGCAAAUUUACAUUUCCAACACUAUGCAUGGAUUCUAUAUUUGCCACACCCCCAACAACAUUUGUUAUAGCCUCUUGGGGCUUGUUUUGGUGUUUAUUUUUUGUGAAUUUUUCGUUAUUGUUGUUUCUUAUUGUUUUUGGAAACAGACGCCCUUACAAGCAUGUAAUGGCAGCACUAGGUGGUCGAGAUUUCUCUGUCCGCAGUGAUUAGGGAUGGAAUUCACCUAUUGCUCUUCCUGUUGGCUGGAUGUGUGCUUAGCAUAAACUGGCAUUCAGGCCCCAUCUUAGUGUCUUUUCCUAUCUCUUUGUUAAAAUACUGAAAAAAAAAAA